rnacentral:lncRNA from 1 species
GUUAAUUGUUGUUUUUUGUUUUUAAUUUGCCUCCAAUAAACAACAUCAUCUGCCCAUCUCUGCAUGGAAAGUGGGUCCCAAGUGAAGGGGCCCAGCACCCACUUUGGGAGUUGGAGGCAGACUUGGGAGGUCUUCAAGCUCAGACCUCUCCCCCAUGCACUAAUUUGAGAUAGUUAUUUGUAAUCUUCUGGAGAUGAUUUGGCUUUGGUCCUGCCCAGGGGUAAAGGAACGGACAAGCAGACCUCUGAGAUCACCCAUCUUCAGGGUUCCCCCAGCUCAGUGAUCUUGGCUAAAGAAUGAAGUCUGGAUUCACAGAGACGGGGGUUUGAAUCCCAGAUCUGCUGCCUCGUAGUUGAAUGGGACUUCUACAAAGGGUUGUCAUGAAGAUUCAAUGAAAUCAUGGAGGAAAAGCACAUAGAAUGGUGCUCAGCACAUGUCCAGCCACAAGCACUCAAGACAGGUAAAGAGGCAGUUUCCCCCUGCCUGAGAGUUUUGGUGAACCAGCCAGAAGAAUCACUGGCUGGAAAACUCCUUUCUCCUUGGGACUGCUGCAGAUGAAAAGAUCCUGGAACGUCUGACAGAAGCUGCCAGGAGACAGUUGCAGAUAUUGCAAGAAAUCGGGACACUGGAAGAGAAAUUGUCCUGUACUUCCGAGAAAGGAAAGCUUAAAAAGUAAUUCCCCUAGGCCCCGGCACGCCCAGGAGGAUUGUUUUUCUCCUCCCGAGGGACAAUUCCCC